CCUACGGGGGGCAGCAGUGAGGAAUAUUGGUCAAUGGGCGGGAGCCUGAACCAGCCAAGUCGCGUGAGGGAAGACGGUCCUAUGGAUUGUAAACCUCUUUAGGCGGGGAGCAAUGCCGGGCACGUGUGCCCGGGGGAGAGUACCCGCAGAAUAAGCAUCGGCUAACUCCGUGCCAGCAGCCGCGGUAAUACGGAGGAUCCGAGCGUUAUCCGGAUUUAUUGGGUUUAAAGGGAGCGUAGGUGGAUUGUUAAGUCAGUUGUGAAAGUUUGCGGCUCAACCGUAAAAUUGCAGUUGAAACUGGCAGUCUUGAGUACAGUAGAGGUGGGCGGAAUUCGUGGUGUAGCGGUGAAAUGCUUAGAUAUCACGAAGAACUCCGAUUGCGAAGGCAGCUCACUGGACUGCAACUGACACUGAUGCUCGAAAGUGUGGGUAUCAAACAGGAUUAGAUACCCCUGUAGUC
rnacentral:rRNA from 1 species